GUGCUCACUUUGGCUGCACAUAUGCAAAAAUUGUGAUGGUACAGAGAAGAUGAGCACGGCCCCAGAGCAAGGAUGACGUGCAAAUUUGUGAAGAAUUCCAUAUUUUU